CAUGUGACCUAUUGCAAUGCAUUGUGGGAGCCUAGACUCCAUUUUGUAGGCCAUGCUGUAGAAGAAUGACACCAUAUCAAAAUUCUCCCCUAUGGUAGCAUCGCUGUUUUUGCCAUAACCAUCCAGUAAAGUUCAAUGGACUUCACCCUCAGUCUCUUUUAUUGGAGUGUGGCACUCUGAAGUUCUGACGGCCAAAGGUCCGAACACUGAUAUCGCAACCAUCCUAUCGAGCACAUGAUAAGAUGCUUCUGCUACAUCACAGAGUAAAGACAAACACAAGGGAGAAAUUAACACCCCCUUUGAGGAGGAGUGUGUGUGGCACAUACACAUACAACUGACAUUGGCCUAGUGAACCACGUGCAGACUUAUUGACAGUGAAUGCAUCAGCACCCUGGAAGUGACACCUUUCACCGUAAUAAAACCUGCUGUUUUAUGGAAGCCCACAAUUACACUGGAAUUUAGUGGUAAAACUGCAUUGUGAGGAAAAUACAUAACUAU